rnacentral:lncRNA from 1 species
AGAGCCGAGGCGGAGCGCAAGCGGGACGAGCGGGCAGCGCGCCGGGCGCUGGCCAAGGAGCGGCGGAACCGGCCGGAGCCUGGCAGCAGCGGCUGCGAAGAAGAGUUUGUGAGCUUCGCCAACCAACUGCAGGCCCUGGGACUGAAGCUGCGGGAGGUGCCGGGGGACGGCAAUUGCCUGUUCAGAGCGCUGGGCGACCAGUUGGAGGGCCAUUCUCGGAACCAUCUGAAGCACCGACAGGAGACCGUGGACUACAUGAUAAGGCAGCGUGAAGAUUUUGAGCCCUUUGUGGAAGAUGACAUCCCCUUUGAGAAGCAUGAUUCGAGGCACAGACAAGAGCAGCGCGAGGGAGCUCCACAUCGCCUACCGGUACGGGGAACACUAUGACAGCGUCCGGAGGAUCAAUGACAACUCAGAAGCGCCAGCUCAUCUCCUAACUGACUUCCAGAUGCUUCAUCAAGAUAGAACAAAU